rnacentral:rRNA from 1 species
GACGAACGCUGGCGGCGUGCUUAACACAUGCAAGUCGAACGGAAAGGCCCUGCUUUUGUGGGGUGCUCGAGUGGCGAACGGGUGAGUAACACGUGAGUAACCUGCCCUUGACUUUGGGAUAACUUCAGGAAACUGGGGCUAAUACCGGAUAGGAGCUCCUGCUGCAUGGUGGGGGUUGGAAAGUUUCGGCGGUUGGGGAUGGACUCGCGGCUUAUCAGCUUGUUGGUGGGGUAGUGGCUUACCAAGGCUUUGACGGGUAGCCGGCCUGAGAGGGUGACCGGACACAUUGGGACUGAGAUACGGCCCAGACUCCUACGGGAGGCAGCAGUGGGGAAUAGUGCACAAUGGGCGGAAGCAUGAUGCAGCAACGCCGCGUGGGGGAUGACGGCCUUCGGGUUGUAAACCGCUUUCGCCUGUGACGAAGCGUGAGUGACGGUAAUGGGUAAAGAAGCACCGGCUAACUACGUG